rnacentral:rRNA from 1 species
UACGUAGGGUGCAAGCGUUGUCCGGAAUUAUUGGGCGUAAAGAGCUCGUAGGCGGUCUGUCACGUCGGAUGUGAAAAUCCAGGGCUUAACCCUGGACCUGCAUUCGAUACGGGCAGACUAGAGUUCGGUAGGGGAGACUGGAAUUCCUGGUGUAGCGGUGAAAUGCGCAGAUAUCAGGAGGAACACCGGUGGCGAAGGCGGGUCUCUGGGCAUUACCUGACGCUGAGGAGCGAAAGUGUGGGGAGCGAACAGG